rnacentral:rRNA from 1 species
CCUACGGGAGGCAGCAGUGGGGAAUAUUGCACAAUGGGGGAAACCCUGAUGCAGCGACGCCGCGUGAGUGAUGAAGUAUUUCGGUAUGUAAAGCUCUAUCAGCAGGGAAGAAGCAAGACGGUACCAGACUAAGAAGCCUCGGCUAACUACGUACCAGCAGCCGCGGUAAUACGUAGGGGGCAAGCGUUAGCCGGAUUUACUGGGUGUAAAGGGAGCGUAGACGGUAUGGCAAGUCUGGAGUGAAAGCCCAGGGCUUAACCCUGGAACUGCUUUGGAAACUGUUAGACUGGAGUGCUGGAGAGGUAAGUGGAAUUCCAGGUGUAGCGGUGAAAUGCGUAGAUAUUAGGAGGAACACCAGUGGCGAAGGCGACUUACUGGAACGUAACUGACGUUGAGGCUCGAAAGCGUGGGGAGCAAACAGGAUUAGAUACCCCUGUAGUC